rnacentral:rRNA from 1 species
UACGGGGGGGGCAAGCGUUGUUCGGAAUUACUGGGCGUAAAGGGCUCGUAGGCGGCCAACUAAGUCAGACGUGAAAUCCCCAGGCUUAACCUGGGAACUGCGUCUGAUACUGGAUGGCUUGAAUUCGGGAGAGGGAUGCAGAAUUCCAGGUGUAGCGGUGAAAUGCGUAGAUAUCUGGAGGAACACCGGUGGCGAAGGCGGCAUCCUGGACCAUUAUUGACGCUGAGGAGCGAAAGCCAGGGGAGCAAACGGG